GCUGUUGUAGCUCAGUGGUAGAGCACCUCCUUGGUAAGGAGGAGGUCGGCAGUUCAAUCCUGCUCAACAGCUCAA
rnacentral:tRNA from 2 species